UGUUAAAUUUACCAACUAUAUGGCGAAACCAUAACCUUUAUUUUACUACUGAAUGGCAAUUCAAAGAACUUUCUACUGCAAUGAUUUAGAAUUUCCACUUCAUGAGAUUUUACACUGAGUAUGUGUCGUUCGAAACGACACAUACAGAUUUUACACUGAGUAUGUGUCGUUCCCUUUUAGAAUUACUCAAAAUUUCCUUCAAAUUUCCAUCAAAGAAUUUUCCUUUAUAAUUAUCAAAGGAAAACCGGCAUACCGAUAAUAUCGGUAUAAUUUUUUCGGUAUACCGAUCCGGAAAUUUCUCAUACCGAACAUUCCUAAAUUUUAUAUUAGAUUGUUUUGUUCCGAGAUGAAAUUCCACGCAUUGUUCUGUGUAAGUUUCUGACUAAUAUUGAAGGAUUUUGUAGAUGCAAAUUUUGAGUGUAAAUUUUGUAAUUGAACAUGUGGCCCUGCAAUUCUGGUGCAGCGCUCUAACCAACUGAGCUACAAAGUCCAGUUGUUGAGCUCUAACCACAAAAAUCCAUCUACAAAUCCAUCUUGAACAUUAGUUUCUCAAACCAACAUUCAAAAGCUGAGUCCAACGCAUGUUAUGAUCAAAAUGUUUUUGCAUGUUUUCUUGUCCUGUUUAGCCUUGUCCCAUUUAACUUACUGUAUGCCUAAACGAUUUCUUUAAACCAGCCUUUGUUGUCAGUUGAAAUUAGGUUGUAUGUUUGAAUAUGUUCGUAGUAGGUACCUUGGCUCAAACAAGCUAAAAUUAAUGUAAUUAUUUUAAAGUCAAAAACUAUAGUGAUAUACAAUACAAGUUUACCGUUGUUAGAAGUAAAAACUUUAAUUGACGAGUGCUUAUUUUGGGGGCUUGCCACUUUUUACUUUAUGACACUGAAUUAUACUUUAGCACCAGACUAAGCGAACAUAAAAAUGGUGUUGGAAUUUUGUUGCAUAAGUACUUUAAACUCCUUCGCCUAUGGCCUUUAGUUCUCACUUAAUGUAGUUUAAUAUGU